GGCUGCGGUAUUUUAACCGUGCGAAGGUAGCGCGAUCACUCGUCUUUUAAAUGGAGACCUGUAUGAAAGGGACAACAAGGGGUUAGCUGUCUCCCUUUUUAUGUCAAUGAAAUUGAUUUCCCCCCGCAAAAACGGGGAUUACCCCCUAAGACAAGAAAACCCCCUGAAGCUUUUGAUAACAAAGCAGAUCUGAUAAUAAGCCCCCUAAAAAGAAUAAAGAUACUAACCCCUGCCUUACUAUUUUCUGUUGGGGCGACCACGGCGAGGUAAAUAACCCCCCCCUGGACUGGGAGAAACAACGCUCCCGCUCCUAAAGGCUACCGCCUCCGUUAUCAGAAACUCUGUUUAUCACCUCACAGGAUUCGGCUCAGCUGAUCAACGGACCCAGUGGAUAACAGCACAA
rnacentral:rRNA from 1 species